GGUAGCUAUAAUUCAACGGUAGAAUACCCGUAUGUGGCACGGCCUAUCUGAGUUCGAGUCUCAGUAGUUACC
rnacentral:tRNA from 1 species